rnacentral:misc_RNA from 1 species
GACGAAGAACGUAGUGAAAUGCGAUAAGUAAUGUGAAUUGCAGAAUUCAGUGAAUCAUCGAAUCUUUGAACGCACAUUGCGCCCGCCAGUAUUCUGGCGGGCAUGCCUGUUCGAGCGUCAUUUCAACCAUCAAGCCCCAGGCUUGUGUUGGGGACCUGCGGCUGCCGCAGGCCCUGAAAACCAGUGGCGGGCUCGCUGUCACACCGGGCGUAGUAGAUUUUAUCUCGCUCAGGGCGUGCUGCGGGUUCCGGCCGUUAAAAAGCCUUUUUUACCCAAGGUUGACCUCGGAUCAGGUAGGAAGACCCGCUGAACUUAAGCAUAUCAAUAAGCGGAGGA